GAUGAACGCUGGCGGCGUGCUUAACACAUGCAAGUCGAACGAUGAAGCCCAGCUUGCUGGGUGGAUUAGUGGCGAACGGGUGAGUAACACGUGAGUAACCUGCCCUUAACUCUGGGAUAAGCCUGGGAAACUGGGUCUAAUACCGGAUAGGAGCGUCCACCGCAUGGUGGGUGGUGGAAAGAUUUAUCGGUUUUGGAUGGACUCGCGGCCUAUCAGCUUGUUGGUGAGGUAAUGGCUCACCAAGGCGACGACGGGUAGCCGGCCUGAGAGGGUGACCGGCCACACUGGGACUGCGACACGGCCCAGACUCCUACGGGAGGCAGCAGUGGGGAAUAUUGCACAAUGGGCGCAAGCCUGAUGCAGCGACGCCGCGUGAGGGAUGACGGCCUUCGGGUUGUAAACCUCUUUCAGUAGGGAAGAAGCGAAAGUGACGGUACCUGCAGAAGAAGCACCGGCUAACUACGUG
rnacentral:rRNA from 1 species